rnacentral:rRNA from 1 species
UGGGGAAUUUUGGACAAUGGGCGAAAGCCUGAUCCAGCAAUGCCGCGUGUGUGAAGAAGGCCUUCGGGUUGUAAAGCACUUUUGUCCGGAAAGAAAUCCUUGGCUCUAAUACAGUCGGGGGAUGACGGUACCGGAAGAAUAAGCACCGGCUAACUACGUGCCAGCAGCCGCGGUAAUACGUAGGGUGCAAGCGUUAAUCGGAAUUACUGGGCGUAAAGCGUGCGCAGGCGGUUUGCUAAGACCGAUGUGAAAUCCCCGGGCUCAACCUGGGAACUGCAUUGGUGACUGGCAGGCUAGAGUAUGGCAGAGGGGGGUAGAAUUCCACGUGUAGCAGUGAAAUGCGUAGAGAUGUGGAGGAAUACCGAUGGCGAAGGCAGCCCCCUGGGCCAAUACUGACGCUCAUGCACGAAAGCGUGGGGAGCAAACAGGAUUAGAUACCCUGGUAGUCCACGCCCUAAACGAUGUCAACUAGUUGUGGGGAUUCAUUUCCUAGUAACGUAGCUAACGCGUGAAGUUGACCGCCUGGGGAGUACGGUCGCAAGAUUAAAACUCAAAUGAAUUGACGGGGUCAUAGCUGUUUCCU